GGUUCUUACAAUCAAAAGUAAUCUCCUAUUUAUACUAAUGAAUAAAAACGUCCAAAACCAUCAAAUUAUGGUAAUAAUUUGAUUCCAUAAGAAUUCUAUCGAAACUAGGAAAUUCGGCAAAAAAUAGAAAAUCGCCAAUUUUUUUGGCCUGUGCGGCCGCAUGGUGUAAAUCCAUGCGGUCACAUGGUUCAACUGAAAUUGCACUUUUGGUUUUCGGGAACCAUGUGUGCGGUCGCAUGGAAUUUUGCCUGUGCGGCCGCAUGGUGUUGUUUUCUGCCUCCGCUUUCGUCGCUUGAUAACAAAUUGAUCCAAGUCGAUUCGGCCUUCGACCCGAACAUGAAAGUUGCUCCAUUUUGAGUCCCGAACAUGGUUCCAUCAAUGGUUU
rnacentral:lncRNA from 1 species